rnacentral:rRNA from 1 species
AUGAAGGGAGAAAUCAGCCAGUCGGAUUUGGUUAAGAAUCUCUUUGGUAUCUUUUGCAAGAACAAACAAUGGACAUGGCAGAUCAAGACGCUGUCGGAGAAGAAGUUCUUGGUUAGAUUCCCACCCUAGAAAGAUGUUGAAGAAUUGAUCGAAUUCCCUGCCUUUGAUCCGCCCAUCGACGGAGUCUCCGUGUCUGUGGAGAAGUGGACCGGCUCAAUUGACCCGUUCAGCGAGCUUGUUGAAGCAUGGGUGGUUGUUGAGGGUCUAUCGUCUAAAUGGUGCACAUGGAAAGUCCUUUCUCAGAUUGCUUCCUGCUUUGGAAUUCUUAUGGACGUGGAUUGGAAUGGUAUGAUGAAGAGCUUCUAUGAGAAAGUGAGGGUCAAAAUUGCUUGUAGAGACCCAACUAAGAUCCCCUUUGUAAGGAUUAUGGAGAUGAGGAAAAAACUCUAUAUCUUAUCCUUUACUGUGGAAGGCUUUGACCAGGUAGGAGCUGAUGAUCCUAAUGAUGAUGAUGGUCCUACUGACAUAACAGUGGAUGAGGACAAUAAGAUAACAGAUGAGGAGGAACUGGAUAAGGAUAUCCUGGAUGAUGGAGAGGAACCCAUUGAUGCCCUGGACCUGGCCAACAGAGCCCCCACAAAAACCCCAGCUGGGAAGAAAACAACUGAUGAUGGUGCUUUAUUCCACCCCCCUACUCUGUUGGAGGCAUGCUUCUCUCCUGUGAGAGUCAACAAGAAGACUAAUCAAGAAACUGUGACCCAGAGCGUGUGCUUAUCAAUCCCCUAUGCUGAGGCAAUUAAAACCCUCAGCAAUACACACAACAAAAAAUGA